UGGGGAAUUUUGGACAAUGGGCGAAAGCCUGAUCCAGCAAUGCCGCGUGUGUGAAGAAGGCCUUCGGGUUGUAAAGCACUUUUGUCCGGAAAGAAAUCCUUGGCUCUAAUACAGUCGGGGGAUGACGUACCGGAAGAAUAAGCACCGGCUAACUACGUGCCAGCAGCCGCGGUAAUACGUAGGGUGCAAGCGUUAAUCGGAAUUACUGGGCGUAAAGCGUGCGCAGGCGGUUUGCUAAGACCGAUGUGAAAUCCCCGGGCUCAACCUGGGAACUGCAUUGGUGACUGGCAGGCUAGAGUAUGGCAGAGGGGGGUAGAAUUCCACGUGUAGCAGUGAAAUGCGUAGAGAUGUGGAGGAAUACCGAUGGCGAAGGCAGCCCCCUGGGCCAAUACUGACGCUCAUGCACGAAAGCGUGGGGAGCAAACAGGAUUAGAUACCCUGGUAGUCCACGCCCUAAAACGAUGUCAACUAGUUGUUGGGGAUUCAUUUUCCUUAGUAACGUAGCUAA
rnacentral:rRNA from 1 species